GCAGCCGCCGCGGUAAAACGUAGGGUGCAAGCGUUAAUCGGAAUUACUGGGCGUAAAGCGUGCGCAGGCGGUUAUAUAAGACAGAUGUGAAAUCCCCGGGCUCAACCUGGGAACUGCAUUUGUGACUGUAUAGCUAGAGUACGGCAGAGGGGGAUGGAAUUCCGCGUGUAGCAGUGAAAUGCGUAGAUAUGCGGAGGAACACCGAUGGCGAAGGCAAUCACCUGGGCCUGUACUGACGCUCAUGCACGAAAGCGUGGGGAGCAAACAGGAUUAGAUACCCCUGUAGUCCCUGUCUCUUAUAC
rnacentral:rRNA from 1 species